CCAAUCGUUCCCCCUCGUCCGCCAACUCCGCCAACACCACAGCACCAAUCAUCGACGGCGGACACGGAGGCGGACGGUGACGAGCAACCGCCGCCGCCGCCGCCGCGCGCGCUCCCAGCGACCGGAGCGGGCCAGACUCAACCACCCGGUGCCCCGGCGAGCAAGCCGCCGGAGCCAGCGCCGCAGAAGCGGCAGCAACAAGAGGGCGUUGCUGCUAAGGAGACCUCCUCGGCUGCUCACGGCGGCGACGGAGGCAGAAAGAAGACGGCGUCCAGCCGCUGGAGCAGGGUCCGAGCCGUCGUCUGGAUAUACACCCUCUUCCGCCGCAAGCGCCCUUCUCCUCCGACUCCGAGCGGGAAGGACGACGGCGGCGGUGCAGGGGCGCCCGACGAGGGGGAGGAGGGCAAACGCGAGGGCGGCAUGACAGG
rnacentral:lncRNA from 1 species